rnacentral:rRNA from 1 species
UACGUAGGGUGCAAGCGUUGUCCGGAAUUAUUGGGCGUAAAGAGCUCGUAGGCGGUCUGUCGCGUCGGCUGUGAAAUCCCGGAGCUCAACUCCGGGUCUGCAGUCGAUACGGGCAGACUGGAGUUCGGCAGGGGAGACUGGAAUUCCUGGUGUAGCGGCGAAAUGCGCAGAUAUCAGGAGGAACACCGGUGGCGAAGGCGGGUCUCUGGGCCGAUACUGACGCUGAGGAGCGAAAGCGUGGGGAGCGAACAGG